ensembl:lncRNA
CUUUUAUUUCUGUUCUUUAGAGAUUCUUUGUAUGAUCACUUACCCUGUGAUUAAAUAUACUACAAUUUGAUCUUUAUCAACAUCUAGGAUUAGUUUCACUAAAAUAAAUAAGACUUUAUUUUCCUCCCUUAUUCCUCUCACCAUGUUGAAGUCAUCUAGAAUUUCUGACUGGGGCAGUCACCACGGGCCACUGGGGGCUACUGAGCCCUGGAAACAAGCCUUACCUGGAUGGAGAAGUACUGUAGGUGUCAGAUACACAGCACAUUUCAAAGAUGCAGGCCAAAAUAAUUCAUCAACAAUAUCUUAAUAUUAAUUACAUCUUGAAAUGGCAAUAUUUUAGAUAUACUGCUUUAGAUACAUAAAUAUAUUGUCAAAUCCAUUCCACAUUUUGCCCUUUCUGAAUGUGACUACUAGAAAACUCAAAAUUACAGAUGUGGCCCAUGUUAUUUUUCCACUAGAUUUCUAUUGGACAUUGUUGCUAUAGGAUUUUAGUCCUGAAUUAUAAUUUUUCAACAAUGGUGACUGCAGCCAUGAAAUUAAAAGACACUCCUUGGAAGGAAAGUUAUGACCAACCUAGAUAGCAUAUUCAAAAGCAGAGACAUUACUUUGCUAACAAAGGUUCAUCUAGUCAAGGCUUUGGUUUUUCCUGUGGUCAUGUACGGAUGUGAGAGUUGGACUGUGAAGAAGGCUGAGAGCCAAAUAAUUGAUGCUUUUGAACUGUGGUGUUGGAGAAGACUCUUGAGAGUCCCUUGGACUGCAAGGAGAUCCAAGCAGUCCAUUUGAAGGAGAUCAGCCCUGGGAUUUCUUUGGAAGGAAUGAUGCUAAAGCUGAAACUCCAGUACUUUGGCCACCUCAUGUGAAGAGUUGACUCAUUGGAAAAGACUCUGAUGCUGGGAGGGAUUGGGGGCAAGAGGAGAAGGGGACGACAGAGGAUGAGAUGGCUGGAUGGCAUCACGGACUUGAUGGACGUGAGUCUGGGUGAACUCCGGGAGUUGGUGAUGGACAGGGAGGCCUGGCGUGCUGCGAUUCAUGGGGUCACAAAGAGUCGGACAUGACUGAGUGACUGAACUGAACUGAAACCAGUUUUUCUCCUUAUUUUUUCCCCUUUUGUCUCUCUGAUUCAUUGAUUCACUGUUCAGCCCUCGAAUUAUACUGUCUAGUGGGUAUAGAAUUCUAGAAUUCAAACUCAAUUUUAGAGCUCAAUUGCUGUAUUGUCUUCAAUUCCUGGCUCCAUUUGUAGACAGGCUAUUUUUGUUCUUCUUCUUCUUCUAGAAGAUUUUAGGAAUGACUGUUCACUCUGUGUACUCUGGUUUCACAAAAGGUAGAGGGGUUUCCAUGCCUUGCAUUUCAUUCUCAGGAAACUCUGAAACACGGUCUUGUGUGUGUGUGUGUCUUUUAGGCUCUGGAAAAACUUCUUGCACUAUUUCUCUUCCAUUCUUGUGCCUUCUGUAAGGCAAUGUCUAUUCUUUAAUUCACAUCUCCUCCUGAAAGGGAUUUGUAUCUUUUAGAUCUGUUUUCCACCUUUAAACUUUCUUUUAUACCUUCUUCUCUUCAUUCUUGUGUGUAAGUCAUUGAUUUGUGAGUUUUUCAGGUUGUUUCUUUUUGUGUGUGUGCAUCUGUUUCUCUAUUCAGUGCACACACUGUAGAGAAGAACUGGAUUCUCAUUUCCAAGGUCUAUCCGGUCCUUUUCCAUCCCAGCACACUCUUGUGUCACAGAAGAUAUCUUCUCAUCUGUCCUGUGAGGAUUUUCAUUCUCCUUCUUGUAAAUGGUGACUGCAGCCAUGAAAUUAAAAGACACUUACUCCUCAGAAGAAAAGUUAUGACCAAUCUAGACAGCAUAUUAAAAAGCAGAGACAUUAUUUUGCCAACAAAGGUCCGUCUAGUCAAAGUUAUGGUUUUUGCAGUGGUCAUGUAUGGAUGUGAGAGUUAGACUGUGAAGAAAACUGAGCGCCAAAGAAUUGAUGCCUUUGAACUGUGGUGUUGGAGAAGACUCUUAAGAGUCCCUGGGACUGCAAGGAGAUCCAACCAGUCCAUCCCAAAGGAAAUCAGUCUUGAAUAUUCCUUGGAAAGACUGAUGCUGAAGCUGAAACUCCAAUACUCUGGCCACCUGAUGCGAAGAACUGACUCAUUUGAAAAGGCCCUGAUGCUGGGAAAGAUUGAAGGCACGAGGAGAAGGGGAUGACAGAGGAUGAGAUGGUUGGAUGGUAUCACUGACUCAAUGGACAUGAGUCUGAGUAAACUCUGGGAGUUGGUAAUGGAUGGGGAGACCUGGCGUGCUGCAGUCCAUGGGGUCGCAAAGAGUCAGACACAACUGAGAGACUAAACUGAACUGACUCUUGUAAAUGAACCAAGUUUUAGUUACAUCUUCUUUCUGCUGAGUUGAGUGUCUUGUGAGAAGAGAUGGAAACCACCAUGACUGUCAAGAUGUUGCUCUUUGCACAUUAUGACCCAGAGCACAAACGCUCACACAGCUUCACCAGCUUGUUCCAGUGUGAACGCUCAACUUGGGGUGCUGGUCCGGUCCUGUGCAUUCACAGCACACCCGGGGCUCACGUGUUCUAUAGCACAGGACCAACCCAGAAAGGAUACGCAGUAAGAAUUUACUGACACUGAAUCUGGAAGAUUUGACAUUCUCUGCCCUUCUUUCAGUCUGGAAUAAGGAGCAGUAGGCAUUUGCCAAUUUGAGUGGUCCUCCCUGAGACUGCUGAGUAGUUUGGCAUUGUGGGAAUUUGUUUCACACUAUUCUGAGUGUGCAAUCCAACCCUAAACCCUCUCACUACAGUUCCAUCCCAUUGCUAUUACUUGAAAUAAAGGGCAAGUGUGUAUGCGGGUGUGCUAAGUCAUUUCAGUUGUGUCCGACUCUGCAUGACCUCACUGACUGUAGCCCGCCAGGCUCCACUGUCCAUGGGAAUCUCCAGGCAAGAAUACUGGAGUGGAUUGUCACACCCUCCUCAAGAGGAUCUUCCUGACCCAGGGAUAGAACCCAUGUCUCUUACAUCUCCUGCAUUGGCAGGAGAGAUUCACAAGCUGCUAUGAAAGUGAUGGCUACAGGUGUCUAAAUCUGAUUGAGGAGAGAAUGUCUUGAAUGAGAAUUCCAGUGACAGAGACUUGGAUUAAACUGCAUGUUUUUAAAUGAAUGAAGAAGAAUUCCUUGGACUACAGGGAGAUUAAAAAUAGCUGAGCACUGAAGAAUUGAUGCUUUUGAACUGUGGUACUGGAGAAGACUCCUGAGAGUCCCUUGGACUGCAAGGAGAUCCACCCAGUCCAUCCUAAAGGAGAUCAGUCCUGAAUAUUCACUGGAAGGACUGAUGCUGAAGCUGAAGCUCCAGUACUUUAGCCACCUGAUGUGAAGAGCUGACUCAUUAGAAAAGACCCCAAUGUUGGGAAAGGUUGAAGACAGAAGGAGAAGGGGAUGACAGAAGACCAGAUGGUUGGAUGGCAUCACCGACUCAAUGGACAUGAGUUUGAGCAAGCACCAGGAGAUGGUGAAGGACAGAGAAACCUGGCGUGCUGCAGUCCAUGGGAUCCACGGAGAAUCAGACAAGACUGAGCAACUGAACAAAAAUUAAACUCAAAUCUUGCCCGUCAACAGCUGACUUUGAACCCACAUAUUAAGAAACUUCAAAAAAGUAUUGUUCUACAUAUAAAUCCCUCUUUUUAAAACUUUUGCAACUUUUGAUGAGAGUUUUCCCCCUUCUUAAAAAAGAAACUCACCUUUGUUGAGUAUUUACUCUCUACCAAAAGUUGCAACAUUUUCCAAGUGAGAAAAGAACAUGCUGUCAUGAUCUGAUCAGUGACACUGUUACUGCUAUUCAGGUGCUGCCAGGUUCCCGGCAUCAUGUGAACCCAUGACCCAAACAUACCAUCUGUGGGACACCACUUCACAUCCCUGACAUCUUGCCACAGUGAUUUUUUUUUUUUUUUUUACUGUUUUUACCAUAACAUUGUUGACUCCCAGGAAUGAUUUACUUGUUAUGAGAAUUUUCCAGUAAAUGGUAAUAAGACGCCACGAUCUAACAAAAUUAGAAUAUUACAACAAUUUUGACAAUGGAAGUAAAGAAAUUGUUUUUAACUUAAGGAAUUAUCAUAAUCAAAUGACAGUGUCAAUCUAGCACCUAAAAUAGCCAGUGACUCUAAACAAAGAUUAGGCAAGUAAUGAACUCACGGGUGAGGACUUGCACAUGUAAAAUUUUUUUUUAAAUCCUUAUUGUGAAUGGCACAGUGCCAGUAUAUAAUAUACUUUAUUGACAUUCAAAUCAUCUGUUGUUUUUUAAAGUACUAAGGUGAAAUUGCUGGGUCCCCAGUUUAAAUUGAAUUACCUUCAUUACAACAUGAAUCAUGUAACAAUGGAU